rnacentral:rRNA from 1 species
AGUGGCGAACGGGUGAGUAACACGUGGGCAAUCUGCCCUGCACUCUGGGACAAGCCCUGGAAACGGGGUCUAAUACCGGAUAUGACUAUCUGUCGCAUGGUGGAUGGUGUAAAGCUCCGGCGGUGCAGGAUGAGCCCGCGGCCUAUCAGCUUGUUGGUGAGGUAGUGGCUCACCAAGGCGACGACGGGUAGCCGGCCUGAGAGGGCGACCGGCCACACUGGGACUGAGACACGGCCCAGACUCCUACGGGAGGCAGCAGUGGGGAAUAUUGCACAAUGGGCGAAAGCCUGAUGCAGCGACGCCGCGUGAGGGAUGACGGCCUUCGGGUUGUAAACCUCUUUCAGCAGGGAAGAAGCGAAAGUGACGGUACCUGCAGAAGAAGCGCCGGCUAACUACGUGCCAGCAGCCGCGGUAAUACGUAGGGCGCAAGCGUUGUCCGGAAUUAUUGGGCGUAAAGAGCUCGUAGGCGGCUUGUCACGUCGGUUGUGAAAGCCCGGGGCUUAACCCCGGGUCUGCAGUCGAUACGGGCAGGCUAGAGUUCGGUAGGGGAGAUCGGAAUUCCUGGUGUAGCGGUGAAAUGCGCAGAUAUCAGGAGGAACACCGGUGGCGAAGGCGGAUCUCUGGGCCGAUACUGACGCUGAGGAGCGAAAGCGUGGGGAGCGAACAGGAUUAGAUACCCUGGUAGUCCACGCCGUAAACGGUGGGCACUAGGUGUGGGCAACAUUCCACGUUGUCCGUGCCGCAGCUAACGCAUUAAGUGCCCCGCCUGGGGAGUACGGCCGCAAGG